rnacentral:rRNA from 1 species
AUGAACGCUAGCUACAGGCUUAACACAUGCAAGUCGAGGGGCAGCAUGAACUUAGCUUGCUAAGUUUGAUGGCGACCGGCGCACGGGUGAGUAACACGUAUCCAACCUGCCGAUAACUCGGGGAUAGCCUUUCGAAAGAAAGAUUAAUAUCCGAUAGACGAUGGGGAUGCGUUCCAUUAGGCAGUUGGUGAGGUAACGGCUCACCAAACCUUCGAUGGAUAGGGGUUCUGAGAGGAAGGUCCCCACAUUGGAACUGAGACACGGUCCAAACUCC